GAAACGACUGCUAAGACUGGAUAGGAGACAAGAAGGCAUCUUCUUGUUUUUAAAAGACCUAGCAAUAGGUAUGCUUAGGGAGGAGCUUGCGUCACAUUAGUUAGUUGGUGGGGUAAAGGCCUACCAAGACUAUGAUGUGUAGCCGGGCUGAGAGGUUGAACGGCCACAUUGGGACUGAGACACGGCCCAAACUCCUACGGGAGGCAGCAGUAGGGAAUUUUCGGCAAUGGAGGAAACUCUGACCGAGCAACGCCGCGUGAACGAUGAAGUAUUUCGGUACGUAAAGUUCUUUUAUUAGGGAAGAAUAAAUGAUGGAAAAAUCAUUCUGACGGUACCUAAUGAAUAAGCCCCGGCUAACUAUGUGCCAGCAGCCGCGGUAAUACAUAGGGGGCAAGCGUUAUCCGGAAUUAUUGGGCGUAAAGGGUGCGUAGGCGGUUAAAUAAGUUUAUGGUCUAAGUGCAAUGCUCAACAUUGUGAUGCUAUAAAAACUGUUUAGCUAGAGUAAGAUAGAGGCAAGUGGAAUUCCAUGUGUAGUGGUAAAAUGCGUAAAUAUAUGGAGGAACACCAGUAGCGAAGGCGGCUUGCUGGGUCUUUACUGACGCUGAGGCACGAAAGCGUGGGGAGCAAACAGGAUUAGAUACCCUGGUAGUCCACGCCGUAAACGAUGAGUACUAAACGUUGGGUAAAACCAGUGUUGAAGUUAACACAUUAAGUACUCCGCCUGAGUAGUACGUACGCAAGUAUGAAACUUAAAGGAAUUGACGGGACUCCGCACAAGCGGUGGAUCAUGUUGUUUAAUUCGAAGGUACCCGAAAAACCUCACCAGGUCUUGACAUGCUUCUGCAAAGCUGUAGAAACACAGUGGAGGUUAUCAGUUGCACAGGUGGUGCAUGGUUGUCGUCAGCUCGUGUCGUGAGAUGUUGGGUUAAGUCCCGCAACGAGCGCAACCCUUAUUGUUAGUUACCAGCACGUAAUGGUGGGGACUUUAGCAAGACUGCCAGUGAUAAAUUGGAGGAAGGUGGGGACGACGUCAAAUCAUCAUGCCCCUUAUGACCUGGGCUACAAACGCGAUACAAUGGCUGUUGCAAAGGGUAGCUGAAGCGCAAGUUUUUGGCGAAUCUCAAAAAAACAGUCUCAGUUCGGAUUGAAGUCUGCAACUCGACUUCAUGAAGUUGGAAUCGCUAGUAAUCGCGAAUCAGCAUGUCGCGGUGAAUACGUUCUCGGGGUUUGUACACACCGCCCGUCA
rnacentral:rRNA from 2 species